UGCGACUUAACUCAAUCGGUAGAGUAAUGCAUCAACGCGUUCAUGUCAGUGCUGGUCGUGCUCGGUACGGCAAGAUGCUGAUGCCUGACGAGAGUGCCGGUUCGAAUCCGGCUGUCGCAACCA
rnacentral:tRNA from 1 species